rnacentral:rRNA from 1 species
AACGCUAGCUACAGGCUUAACACAUGCAAGUCGAGGGGAAACGAUAUUGGAAGCUUGCUUCCGAUAGGCGUCGACCGGCGCACGGGUGAGUAACGCGUAUCCAACCUGCCCAUCACUUGGGGAUAACCUUGCGAAAGUAAGACUAAUACCCAAUGACGUCUCUAGAAGACAUCUGAAAGAGAUUAAAGAUUUAUCGGUGAUGGAUGGGGAUGCGUCUGAUUAGCUUGUUGGCGGGGUAACGGCCCACCAAGGCGACGAUCAGUAGGGGUUCUGAGAGGAAGGUCCCCCACAUUGGAACUGAGACACGGUCCAAACUCCUACGGGAGGCAGCAGUGAGGAAUAUUGGUCAAUGGACGAGAGUCUGAACCAGCCAAGUAGCGUGCAGGAAGACGGCCCUAUGGGUUGUAAACUGCUUUUAUAAGGGAAUAAAGUGAGUCUCGUGAGACUUUUUGCAUGUACCUUAUGAAUAAGGACCGGCUAAUUCCGUGCCAGCAGCUGCGGUAAUACGGAAGGUUCGGGCGUUAUCCGGAUUUAUUGGGUUUAAAGGGAGCGUAGGCCGGAGAUUAAGCGUGUUGUGAAAUGUAGAUGCUCAACAUCUGAACUGCAGCGCGAACUGGUUUCCUUGAGUACACACAAAGUGGGCGGAAUUCGUGGUGUAGCGGUGAAAUGCUUAGAUAU